CUGGGUAUUUGGACCGUGAUUGUAAAGAAGCUGUUCUAAACCCGUCGGGGGGCGGUGUUUGCAGGGAGGGAAGUAGCGUGAGGCAGGUUGGGGAAGGCGUGAAAGGCCUAGGAGAGCCGAGGGGCGGUGGAGGGGUGUGGCCUAGAAUGUUAGGCGGAGCGGGAGGUGGGCCGGGCCUUCGGACGCCCUGUCCCGCAGACGUUGACGAGUGCAGCGAGGAGGACCUUUGCCAGAGCGGCAUCUGUACCAACACCGACGGCUCCUUCGAGUGCAUCUGUCCUCCGGGACACCGCGCCGGCCCGGACCUCGCCUCCUGCCUCGACGUGGACGAAUGUCGCGAGCGAGGCCCAGCCCUGUGCGGGUCGCAGCGCUGUGAGAACUCUCCCGGCUCCUACCGCUGUGUCCGGGACUGCGAUCCUGGGUACCACGCGGGCCCCGAGGGCACCUGUGACGAUGUGGACGAAUGCCGGAACCGGUCCUUCUGCGGUGCCCACGCCGUGUGCCAGAACCUGCCCGGCUCCUUCCAGUGCCUCUGUGACCAGGGUUACGAGGGGGCACGGGAUGGGCGUCACUGCGUGGAUGUGAACGAGUGUGAAACACUACAGGGUGUAUGUGGAGCUGCCCUGUGUGAAAAUGUCGAAGGCUCCUUCCUCUGUGUCUGCCCCAACAGCCCGGAGGAGUUUGACCCCAUGACUGGACGCUGUGUUCCCCCACGAACUUCUGCUGACGUGGACGAAUGUCAGCUCUUCCGAGACC
rnacentral:sRNA from 1 species